UUUUGUUUUUGUGUUGUUAUAUUAGGUGUCUUUUCUUUUAAAUUACUGUUGGGUUAUGGGUAUUGAAAUUUUGUAGUCUUGAUUUUAUUUUGUGCUCGUUCAUAGACAUGGAUACUUCAGCCGGUCAAGGACUCUACCCAUUGCACCACUGUAAAACUAUUCAUUUAAUUGGUAAGACAUGCGCAAGGAUUUCACAAUGUUGCGGGAGAGAAAGAUGUUGAAGCAUACUUAUCCUAUGACUAUCUUGACGCAAGUCUAACUUCUCGUGGUUGGGAGCAGGUUGAUCAUUUGCGGAAGCAUGUCCAAGGA